rnacentral:lncRNA from 1 species
AACACAGUGACCUGAGUGCAUGGUCACCGUCAGCGUGCAAACCACCUUACAGACAUAUGGGGACUGUGUCUGCUUUCCCGGUGCCUGAGGCACAGAAGAAUCUCCUUGAGUUUCAGUUCCUGCUCUGUAACAAUCCAUCCCCACCUAGGAUUCUUAGAACAACGGUGUUUCCUUGCUCACAGUUCUGGGCAGCAGAAUUUGGACAGGGCUCCAUAGAGCAGCUGUGCUGCCCUUGGUGUUGGCUGAGCUGCUCUGUGACCACUGUUCCUGGGGUCACCCCUGGGGUGUCCCAGUGACUCUCCUCGGGGGCCUGCUCUGCAUGUCCUUGUGUUUUUGCAGCACAGUGGCGGAAGCCCCCUCAGGAGAACAGAGAUGUUCACGGCCUGUGAAGAUCUGGGCUAGGAGCCCCAAAAGUCCAUGCCUGUUGGACAGAGUGGAGAGGUUUUGGACACCAGGCUUGGUGGGCAUAGGUGGGAUAUGCGCAGACAAGGCCGAGGAACAACCCAGUGUUUAACAUCUCCUCUCACUCAGGGUGGCAGCUUUGCCUUGUGCAUCCCAGCCCGUCAUGGACGUUCUCUCUCAUCACCUUCCUGGGGCACCAUCGUACCUAGCUCCCUGUCCAUGGACACCCGAGUGAUUCUGUCUCAUCACACCAUCCCUGCCACAGGCUCAGCUCGGGCUGUGAUGAGAAGGCGCUGCUGUAACUGCCUCAGCUCCUACCACGUCAGACUGCGAGUGAGCAUCCAGCUCUGCAACCAGCCAGGUGGACGCAGACGCCGAAGGCUCCCUGUCUGAUUGUGGUGCAUCUUUGUUAAUAAUUAUUCCUGUAAAAACCUUGGACAGCAAAGAAGCCCACUGUUAACAAUAUCUGUAUACUUGGUGGCCUUCACAGUUUGAUCUGCUGUUAUAGAAACCAAAAGUGGACACAGACAGGCCACAGUGGACUCAAACCAG